rnacentral:rRNA from 1 species
AUUGAACGCUGGCGGCAUGCCUUUCACAUGCAAGUCGAACGGUAACAGGUCUUCGGAUGCUGACGAGUGGCGAACGGGUGAGUAAUACAUCGGAACGUGCCUAGUAGUGGGGGAUAACUACUCGAAAGAGUGGCUAAUACCGCAUGAGAUCUACGGAUGAAAGCAGGGGAUCGCAAGACCUUGUGCUACUAGAGCGGCCGAUGGCAGAUUAGGUAGUUGGUGGGAUAAAAGCUUACCAAGCCGACGAUCUGUAGCUGGUCUGAGAGGACGAUCAGCCACACUGGGACUGAGACACGGCCCAGACUCCUACGGGAGGCAGCAGUGGGGAAUUUUGGACAAUGGGCGCAAGCCUGAUCCAGCAAUGCCGCGUGCAGGAUGAAGGCCUUCGGGUUGUAAACUGCUUUUGUACGGAACGAAAAGCCCUGGGUUAAUACCCUGGGGUCAUGACGGUACCGUGAGAAUAAGCACCGGCUAACUACGUGCCAGCCGCCGCCGUAAGAC